UACGUAGGGUGCGAGCGUUGUCCGGAAUUAUUGGGCGUAAAGAGCUCGUAGGCGGUCUGUCGCGUCGAAUGUGAAAACCCGGGGCUCAACUCCGGGCUUGCAUUCGAUACGGGCAGACUAGAGUUCGGUAGGGGAGACGUGGAAUUCCUGGUGUAGCGGUGAAAUGCGCAGAUAUCAGGAGGAACACCGGUGGCGAAGGCGGUUCUCUGGGCAUUACCUGACGCUGAGGAGCGAAAGUGUGGGGAGCGAACAGG
rnacentral:rRNA from 1 species